GGACUACACGGGUAUCUAAUCCCGUUCGCUCCCCUGGCUUUCGCGCCUCAGCGUCAGAAGGGGUCCAGCACGCCGCUUUCGCCACCGGCGUUCCUUCGGAUAUCUACGCAUUUCACCGCUCCACCCGAAGUUCCGCAUGCCCCUACCCCCCUCGAGGCGUCCAGUAUCGGAGGCAAUUUUCCGGUUGGGCCGAAAGAUUUCACCCCCGACUCGGACGCCCGCCUACGCGCCCUUUAAGCCCAGUGAAUCCGAACAACGUUCGCACGGUUCGUCUUACCGCGGCGGCUGGCAC
rnacentral:rRNA from 2 species